rnacentral:rRNA from 1 species
CCUACGGGGGGCUGCAGUGAGGAAUAUUGGUCAAUGGACGAGAGUCUGAACCAGCCAAGUAGCGUGAAGGAUGACUGCCCUAUGGGUUGUAAACUUCUUUUAUAUGGGAGUAAAAUGUUCCACGUGUGGGAUUUUGUAUGUACCAUAUGAAUAAGGAUCGGCUAACUCCGUGCCAGCAGCCGCGGUAAUACGGAGGAUCCGAGCGUUAUCCGGAUUUAUUGGGUGUAAAGGGAGCGUAGGUGGAUUGUUAAGUCAGUUGUGAAAGUUUGCGGCUCAACCGUAAAAGUGCAGUUGAAACUGGCAGUCUUGAGUACAGUAGAGGUGGGCGGAAUUCGUGGUGUAGCGGUGAAAUGCUUAGAUAUCACGAAGAACUCCGAUUGCGAAGGCAGUUCACUGGACUGCAACUGACACUGAGGCUCGAAAGUGUGGGUAUCAAACAGGAUUAGAUACCCCAGUAGUC